rnacentral:lncRNA from 1 species
UGGGCACCUGGCGGCCGUGUCCCCUCAUGGGGGAGGGUCUGAAGCAGCCGGAGCCAGCAGGGGUCCAGCCUGGCCCCGGGCUCACUCCUGAGCCUGCAGACACCUGCAGGGGCAUCUGUUCCCGGCCUCCCACGGCAGAGGGGCAGUUCCCAGGCCAGCUGGCUCAGGGAGGCGCCAGGAGGCCACACAGCAGCCUUCUCUGAGCACCAAGAGCCAGGCCCUGCUCCGGACGCUGCUCCAGGAAGCAGGUGGUAAACACAAGGGGCCCUGCAGUGUGACUUGGUGCUGAGCAGUCCUCGGGAGAAAACGGGUUGGGUGGUGUGGAGGGCGCGGUAGUUUGAGUGAGGUGGUUGGGGAAGGCCUCUCUGAGGAGGGACCUGGGAGCCAACCCUGAAAGGUUCCCACCUUUCAAGGAGACGGCCUUGCAGAUGCAAAGGCCCUGGGGCAGGCAUAACAGUGCUGGGUCACAGGACUGGAGGGUGGCCAGUGCAGCUGGCCAAGAUGGAGCCAGAGGCAUGGUGGGAGGCCCUGGGUCCCUCUGUCACCCACCAGGCUCUUUUGCAAGUGUCUAGUUGGUCCCCUCUUCCUUGGUGAACCCAGGUUCAUCAUAGGGAGCAAGAGUUCAGAUGCAGCUUGAGCCCCAGACACCCCAGACAUGGAUGGGCAUGGUGCGUGGAAGGGAGCAGAGGCCAGGUCUGCCUGGACAGGGCCUCUCCCUGGGCCUGGGAACCAGCUGGGGGCAGCCGAGGGUGGAGGCGGUGCCCUCCCCUUCCACAGGGCCCUGGUCUGGGCGGGGAGUGCGGUGCAUUUGCUUUGGGCCCAGUUUUGCAGCACAUCAGGCUCGGACGGCCUCUGCUCAAAGGCUGA